AUCCAUAGCUGUAGAACCCUGAAUGCACUUCAUCUCACAUGAACUGGAAGCUAAGCAGGGCCAGGCCUGGUAAAUACUUGGAUGGGAGAGGAAAGCAGCCCGAUGGUCC
rnacentral:rRNA from 1 species